rnacentral:lncRNA from 12 species
CAAGUUUUCAGGAGGGUUCUUUGUCGCUCUGCUUUCCACCUUAGGCACAAAAACCCAUGGUCACCUCACUCCCUUCAGUUCACCCCUUUGGAUAUGGAUCUAAAGAGCAGAGUGCUGCUCUUCCUUCCAGAAAACUUCUUCCAUCGCAGCCGGGAGAGCUAAGAGGGAAGCAGGGAGAGAGUGCAGCCCGUCUCUGCAAACGAAGUACACGAAGGCAAGAGAACAAAACCCAAAACCGGGAGGCCUACAGGGAAGCUGGAGACAGACUCUUCUUCAGAGGAACACGCAGAUGCUCUGCUGGUUUUUGGCUCUGUGGUGCUUUGGAGACCCAGGUGCUGCUCCCUGCCUGUCUUUUGACCAGUCAGUCUGACCCACGGAUGCAAAGCUGUUCCUUGGGAAACAUCUGUGGUGCUGAGCGUGGAAAUUUGUGCAUCUCUGUUCUCCCUUCACAGAGCAACUCGUCUGGUGAAACAGAGGUAGGGAUUAUUGGGGAAUAAGAGCAGCCCAUUAUGCACCAAUGGGUGUGAAACGACUAAAGGUUGCCAUUUAGAAAACAAGGGGGGAAAUGGAAUAUUCCUUACUGGCACAGGGAUAAGGUCAGCAAAGUCCACAAGGCUUCCAGAAUUACAGCUGCCAGUUAGUUCAGG